UUUACCCUGCCAUGUUCGUGGUAAGAAGCAAAAGUCCUUUGGUCGUAUUUAAAUAAUCAAUGGGGCCUCCCAUCAGAGGCUGAAGACAGGCCUUAACUGGAAGUCCGAAGCCUUGAUGUCGGUUCCAACUGUUUCUGUAAAAAGUUCAAAGGAACUGUUAUUCACGGCAUUACGGUGGGGUUUUU
rnacentral:other from 1 species